rnacentral:pre_miRNA from 1 species
GUAGUACUCUCUUGGUUCAAAAAAGUUUGUCCCUUAAAUGAAUAUAUCUAGCAUCAAGUUAGUGCUAGAUAUAUUCAUUUGAGGGACAAGCUUGGACAAAUUUUUUCGGACGAAGGGAGUAUCUC